UACGUAGGGGGCAAGCGUUAUCCGGAUUUACUGGGUGUAAAGGGAGCGUAGACGGACUGACAAGUCUGAUGUGAAAGGCGGGGGCUCAACCCCUGGACUGCAUUGGAAACUGUUAGUCUUGAGUGCCGGAGAGGUAAGCGGAAUUCCUAGUGUAGCGGUGAAAUGCGUAGAUAUUAGGAGGAACACCAGUGGCGAAGGCGGCUUACUGGACGGUAACUGACGUUGAGGCUCGAAAGCGUGGGGAGCAAACAGG
rnacentral:rRNA from 1 species